rnacentral:rRNA from 1 species
GGUUAAGCGACUAAGCGUACACGGUGGAUGCCCUGGCAGUCAGAGGCGAUGAAGGGCGUGCUAAUCUGCGAUAAGCGCCGGUAAGGUGAUAUGAACCGUUAUAACCGGCGAUACCCGAAUGGGGAAACCCAGUGUGACUCGUCACACUAUCAUUAACUGAAUCCAUAGGUUAAUGAGGCGAACCGGGGGAACUGAAACAUCUAAGUACCCCGAGGAAAAGAAAUCAACCGAGAUUCCCCCAGUAGCGGCGAGCGAACGGGGAGGAGCCCAGAGCCUGAAUCAGCAUGUGUGUUAGUGGAAGCGUCUGGAAAGGCGCGCGAUACAGGGUGACAGCCCCGUACACAAAAGCGCAUGUGCUGUGAGCUCGAUGAGUAGGGCGGGACACGUGGUAUCCUGUCUGAAUAUGGGGGGACCAUCCUCCAAGGCUAAAUACUCCUGACUGACCGAUAGUGAACCAGUACCGUGAGGGAAAGGCGAAAAGAACCCCGGCGAGGGGAGUGAAAAAGAACCUGAAACCGUGUACGUACAAGCAGUGGGAGCACAGGUUUACCUGUGUGACUGCGUACCUUUUGUAUAAUGGGUCAGCGACUUAUAUUCUGUAGCAAGGUUAACCGUAUAGGGGAGCCGGAGGGAAACCGAGUCUUAAUUGGGCGUUAAGUUGCAGGGUAUAGACCCGAAACCCGGUGAUCUAGCCAUGGGCAGGUUGAAGGUUGGGUAACACUAACUGGAGGACCGAACCGACUAAUGUUGAAAAAUUAGCGGAUGACCUGUGGCUGGGGGUGAAAGGCCAAUCAAACCGGGAGAUAGCUGGUUCUCCCCGAAAGCUAUUUAGGUAGCGCCUCGUGAAUUCAUCUCCGGGGGUAGAGCACUGUUUCGGCUAGGGGGCCAUCCCGGCUUACCAACCCGAUGCAAACUGCGAAUACCGGAGAAUGUUAUCACGGGAGACACACGGCGGGUGCUAACGUCCGUCGUGAAGAGGGAAACAACCCAGACCGCCAGCUAAGGUCCCAAAGUCAUGGUUAAGUGGGAAACGAUGUGGGAAGGCCCAGACAGCCAGGAUGUUGGCUUAGAAGCAGCCAUCAUUUAAAGAAAGCGUAAUAGCUCACUGGUCGAGUCGGCCUGCGCGGAAGAUGUAACGGGGCUAAACCAUGCACCGAAGCUGCGGCAGCGACGCUGAUGCGUUGUUGGGUAGGGGAGCGUUCUGUAAGCCUGCGAAGGUGGCCUGUGAGGGUUGCUGGAGGUAUCAGAAGUGCGAAUGCUGACAUAAGUAACGAUAAAGCGGGUGAAAAGCCCGCUCGCUGGAAGACCAAGGGUUCCUGUCCAACGUUAAUCGGGGCAGGGUGAGUCGACCCCUAAGGCGAGGCCGAAAGGCGUAGUCGAUGGGAAACGGGUUAAUAUUCCCGUACUUGGUGUUACUGCGAAGGGGGGACGGAGAAGGCUAUGUUGGCCGGGCGACGGUUGUCCCGGUUUAAGCGUGUAGGUGUGUGUUCCAGGUAAAUCCGGUUCACUUUAACACUGAGGCGUGAUGACGAGGCACUACGGUGCUGAAGCAACAAAUGCCCUGCUUCCAGGAAAAGCCUCUAAGCAUCAGGUAACAUCAAAUCGUACCCCAAACCGACACAGGUGGUCAGGUAGAGAAUACCAAGGCGCUUGAGAGAACUCGGGUGAAGGAACUAGGCAAAAUGGUGCCGUAACUUCGGGAGAAGGCACGCUGACACGUAGGUGAAGUGAUUUACUCAUGGAGCUGAAGUCAGUCGAAGAUACCAGCUGGCUGCAACUGUUUAUUAAAAACACAGCACUGUGCAAACACGAAAGUGGACGUAUACGGUGUGACGCCUGCCCGGUGCCGGAAGGUUAAUUGAUGGGGUCAGCGCAAGCGAAGCUCCUGAUCGAAGCCCCGGUAAACGGCGGCCGUAACUAUAACGGUCCUAAGGUAGCGAAAUUCCUUGUCGGGUAAGUUCCGACCUGCACGAAUGGCGUAAUGAUGGCCAGGCUGUCUCCACCCGAGACUCAGUGAAAUUGAACUCGCUGUGAAGAUGCAGUGUACCCGCGGCAAGACGGAAAGACCCCGUGAACCUUUACUAUAGCUUGACACUGAACAUUGAGCCUUGAUGUGUAGGAUAGGUGGGAGGCUUUGAAGUGUGGACGCCAGUCUGCAUGGAGCCGACCUUGAAAUACCACCCUUUAAUGUUUGAUGUUCUAACGUGGACCCGUGAUCCGGGUUGCGGACAGUGUCUGGUGGGUAGUUUGACUGGGGCGGUCUCCUCCUAAAGAGUAACGGAGGAGCACGAAGGUUGGCUAAUCCUGGUCGGACAUCAGGAGGUUAGUGCAAUGGCAUAAGCCAGCUUGACUGCGAGCGUGACGGCGCGAGCAGGUGCGAAAGCAGGUCAUAGUGAUCCGGUGGUUCUGAAUGGAAGGGCCAUCGCUCAACGGAUAAAAGGUACUCCGGGGAUAACAGGCUGAUACCGCCCAAGAGUUCAUAUCGACGGCGGUGUUUGGCACCUCGAUGUCGGCUCAUCACAUCCUGGGGCUGAAGUAGGUCCCAAGGGUAUGGCUGUUCGCCAUUUAAAGUGGUACGCGAGCUGGGUUUAGAACGUCGUGAGACAGUUCGGUCCCUAUCUGCCGUGGGCGCUGGAGAACUGAGGGGGGCUGCUCCUAGUACGAGAGGACCGGAGUGGACGCAUCACUGGUGUUCGGGUUGUCAUGCCAAUGGCACUGCCCGGUAGCUAAAUGCGGAAGAGAUAAGUGCUGAAAGCAUCUAAGCACGAAACUUGCCCCGAGAUGAGUUCUCCCUGAGACUUAGAGUCUCCUGAAGGAACGUUGAAGACGACGACGUUGAUAGGCCGGGUGUGUAAGCGCAGCGAUGCGUUGAGCUAACCGGUACUAAUGAACCGUGAGGCUUAACCUU